rnacentral:rRNA from 1 species
AACGCACCUUGCGCCCUUUGGUAUUCCGAAGGGCAUGCCUGUUUGAGUGUCAUUAAAUUAUCAACCUUGCGUGCUUUUACUAGUGUCGCUUGGCUUGGAUGUGAGGGUUUUGCUGGCUUCCUUCAGUGGAUUAGUCUGCUCCCUUUAAAUGCAUUAGUGGGAUCUCUUGUGGACCGUCACUUGGUGUGAUAAUUAUCUAUGCCGUUUGACUUUGAAGCAAAUUUAUGGGAACCUGCUUAUAACCGUCCCCUACCGGACAACAAUCUUAAUUGACAUUCUGACCUCAAACCAGGUAGGACUACCCGCUGAACUUAA